CUGCUCUUAAUUUAAUCCUAACAAUCCUGAAACAUGAGGGUUUGAUGGGUUAAAACAUAGUACAGUCACCUCCUAAACAACUGUUUCUUUAGCCUAAUUUCUUCUUCUCUAUGAACAGCAUGCCACAUGUUUAGCAGAGAUCGGAAGAGC